rnacentral:rRNA from 1 species
UAACAAGGAUUCCCCUAGUAACUGCGAGUGAAGCGGGAAGAGCUCAAAUUUAAAAUCUGGCGGCUUUGCCGUCCGAGUUGUAAUUUAGAGAAGCGUUUUCCGCGCCGGACCGUGUACAAGUCUCCUGGAACGGAGCGUCAUAGAGGGUGAGAAUCCCGUCUUUGACACGGACCCCCGGUGCUCUGUGAUACGCUCUCGAAGAGUCGAGUUGUUUGGGAAUGCAGCUCAAAAUGGGUGGUGAACUCCAUCUAAAGCUAAAUAUUGGCGAGAGACCGAUAGCGAACAAGUACCGUGAGGGAAAGAUGAAAAGCACUUUGGAAAGAGAGUGAAACAGUACGUGAAAUUGCUGAAAGGGAAACGCUUGAAGUCAGUCGCGUCUGCCAGAAUUCAGCCUUAUGGUGUAUUUUCUGACAGACGGGCCAGCAUCACUUUCGAUUGCCGGAAAAAGGCAGAGGGAAUGUGGCACCUCUUCGGAGGUGUGUUAUAGCCCUUUGUCGUAUACGGUGGUUGGGAGUGAGGACCGCCUAUUUUGUAGGAUGCUGGCGUAAUGGCUUUAAACGACCCGUCUUGAAACACGGACCAAGGAGUCUAACAUGCCCGCGAGUGUUCGGGUGGAAAACCCGUGCGCGUAAUGAAAGUGAAAGUUGGGAAGGCUGUCGCGGCCUGCACCGACCCCCGACCCUGAGAUUUAUCGACGGUUCUGCGGUAGAGCGUGUAUGUUGGGACCCGAAAGAUGGUGAACUAUGCCUGAAUAGGGUGAAGCCAGAGGAAACUCUGGUGGAGGCUCGUAGCGAUUCUGACGUGCAAAUCGAUCGUCAAAUUUGGG